rfam:Rhodobacteraceae bacterium HLTCCA12 ITZX_scaf_22, whole genome shotgun sequence.
GGCUCGGGCGCAGGCCGGUGGGACGGUCUGCAAGAAUGGAGCUCGCGCUUCUGUUUCGCAAGCGGCGGCACGGCCGAGGCCCCACGGCACGCGCG